UACGGAGGGUGCAAGCGUUACUCGGAAUCACUGGGCGUAAAGAGCGCGUAGGCGGGAUAGCAAGUCAGAUGUGAAAUCCUAUGGCUUAACCAUAGAACUGCAUUUGAAACUGUUAUUCUAGAGUAUGGGAGAGGUAGGUGGAAUUCCUAGUGUAGCGGUGAAAUGCGUAGAUAUUAGGAGGAACACCAGUGGCGAAGGCGGCCUGCUGGACGACAACUGACGGUGAGGCGCGAAAGCGUGGGUAGCGAACAGG
rnacentral:rRNA from 1 species